GAUGAACGCUGGCGGCGUGCCUAAUACAUGCAAGUCGAGCGAACAGACGAGGAGCUUGCUCCUCUGACGUUAGCGGCGGACGGGUGAGUAACACGUGGAUAACCUACCUAUAAGACUGGGAUAACUUCGGGAAACCGGAGCUAAUACCGGAUAAUAUAUUGAACCGCAUGGUUCAAUAGUGAAAGACGGUUUUGCUGUCACUUAUAGAUGGAUCCGCGCCGCAUUAGCUAGUUGGUAAGGUAACGGCUUACCAAGGCGACGAUGCGUAGCCGACCUGAGAGGGUGAUCGGCCACACUGGAACUGAGACACGGUCCAGACUCCUACGGGAGGCAGCAGUAGGGAAUCUUCCGCAAUGGGCGAAAGCCUGACGGAGCAACGCCGCGUGAGUGAUGAAGGUCUUCGGAUCGUAAAACUCUGUUAUUAGGGAAGAACAAAUGUGUAAGUAGCUAUGCACGUCUUGACGGUACCUAAUCAGAAAGCCACGGCUAACUACGUG
rnacentral:rRNA from 1 species